UCUUGACCUCUUCUGCAAAAAGGACAGACAACAGUGAGGAAGGAAGAAGCACUCACUUAAAAGAAGGGGGACGCCUGAUUGGAGAAGUGGCUGGAAUCACCUGGUAAAGUCACUGUUGAUGUCACCGAGAAUCUUCAUUAAAUCCGGGUGCACGGAAGUGAGCGACACAC